ncrna:unclassified sequences skipping-rope RNA
UGCUUUUGAGGACGGACCGGGCAGCCGUUGCCCCUCGCAAGAGGUUAGGAGAUGUGGGAGUGUCGCCCCGCCAAAAACA